rnacentral:rRNA from 1 species
UACAGAGGUCCCAAGCGUUGUUCGGAUUCACUGGGCGUAAAGGGUGCGUAGGCGGUCGGGUAAGUCUAACGUGAAAUCUCCGAGCCUAACUCGGAAACUGCGUCGGAUACUAUUCGGCUAGAGGAAUGGAGGGGAGACUGGAAUUCUCGGUGUAGCAGUGAAAUGCGUAGAUAUCGAGAGGAACACCAGUGGCGAAGGCGAGUCUCUGGACAUUUCCUGACGCUGAGGCACGAAAGCCAGGGGAGCAAACGGGAUUAGAAACCCUUGUAGUCC